UACGUAGGGGGCAAGCGUUGUCCGGAAUCAUUGGGCGUAAAGCGCGCGUAGGUGGCCUCGUAAGUCCGCUGUAAAAGUCAAAGGCUCAACCUUUGAAAGCCGGUGGAUACUGCGGGGCUAGAGUACGGAAGAGGCGAGUGGAAUUCCCGGUGUAGCGGUGGAAUGCGUAGAGAUCGGGAAGAACAUCGGUGGCGAAGGCGGUCUGCUGGGCCGUUGCUGACGCUGAGGCGCGACAGCGUGGGGAGCAAACAGG
rnacentral:rRNA from 1 species